GAUGAACGCUGGCGGCGUGCUUAACACAUGCAAGUCGAACGGUGAAGGCGGAGCUUGCUCUGCUGGAUCAGUGGCGAACGGGUGAGUAACACGUGAGCAAUCUGCCCCUGACUCUGGGAUAAGCGCUGGAAACGGCGUCUAAUACUGGAUACGAGCUGCGAAGGCAUCUUCAGCAGCUGGAAAGAACUUCGGUCAGGGAUGAGCUCGCGGCCUAUCAGCUUGUUGGUGAGGUAACGGCUCACCAAGGCGUCGACGGGUAGCCGGCCUGAGAGGGUGACCGGCCACACUGGGACUGAGACACGGACCAGACUCCUACGGGAGGCAGCAGUGGGGAAUAUUGCACAAUGGGCGAAAGCCUGAUGCAGCAACGCCGCGUGAGGGACGACGGCCUUCGGGUUGUAAACCUCUGUUAGCAGGGAAGAAGCGAAAGUGACGGUACCUGCAGAAAAAGCGCCGGCUAACUACGUG
rnacentral:rRNA from 1 species